rnacentral:rRNA from 1 species
AUUCCUACGGGAGGCAGCAGUAGGGAAUCUUCCACAAUGGACGAAAGUCUGAUGGAGCAACGCCGCGUGAACGAUGAAGGCCUUCGGGUCGUAAAGUUCUGUUGUAAGGGAAGAACAAGUGCCGCAGGCAAUGGCGGCACCUUGACGGUACUUUGCGAGAAAGCCACGGCUAACUACGUGCCAGCAGCCGCGGUAAUAAUC